rnacentral:rRNA from 1 species
AUUGAACGCUAGCGGGAUGCUUUACACAUGCAAGUCGAACGGCAGCGCGGACUUCGGUCUGGCGGCGAGUGGCGAACGGGUGAGUAAUGUAUCGGAACGUGCCCAGUAGCGGGGGAUAACUACGCGAAAGCGUAGCUAAUACCGCAUACGCCCUACGGGGGAAAGCAGGGGAUCGUAAGACCUUGCACUAUUGGAGCGGCCGAUAUCGGAUUAGCUAGUUGGUGAGGUAACGGCUCACCAAGGCGACGAUCCGUAGCUGGUUUGAGAGGACGACCAGCCAAAUGGGGACUGAGACACGGCCCAGACUCCGACGGGAGGCAGCAGUGGGGAAUUUUGGAAAAGGGGGGCAACCCUGAUCCAGCCAUCCCGCGUGGGCGAUGAAGGCCUUCGGGUGGUAAAGCACUUUUGGCAGGAAAGAAACGUCGCGGGCUAAUACCCCGUGGAACUGACGGUACCUGCAGAAUAAGCACCGGCUAACUACGU